CUACGGGGGGCUGCAGCAGGGAAUAUUGCGCAAUGGGCGAAAGCCUGACGCAGCAACGCCGCGUGAGUGAUGAAGGCCCUCGGGUCGUAAAGCUCUUUUAUUGGGGAAGAAGUUCUGACGGUACCCAAUGAAUAAGCCUCGGCUAAUUACGUGCCAGCAGCCGCGGUGACACGUGAGAGGCAAGCGUUAUCCGGAUUUAUUGGGCGUAAAGGGCGUGUAGGCGGCCCGGCAAGUCUUUUGUGAAAUCUCCCGGCUUAACUGGGAUAGGUCAAGAGAAACUGUCGGGCUUGAGGACAGCAGAGGAAAGUGGACUUCCCGAUGUAGCGGUGAAAUGCGUAGAUAUCGGGAGGAACACCAGUGGCGAAGGCGACUUUCUGGGCUGUUUCUGACGCUGAGGCGCGAAAGCGUGGGUAGCAAACAGGAUUAGAUACCCUCGUAGUC
rnacentral:rRNA from 1 species